UGGAUCACCUCCUAACAGGGAGACAAACAACGAUUUUGAUGUCUGAGUUUUUUUAUUCUUAGGCCAAAAUCCUGUCACCUUAGGUCGAUCGGUACCUCAACUUUGAAGCUAAGAGUAUUCAGCAAUGGAUAUUUGCUUAGUGGAGAUUUUUAGUUCCUAAACUUUGUCUAGUUCACAACCCAUUAGGGAUGAGACUCCUGGGCCAUUAGCUCAGGUGGUUAGAGCGCACCCCUGAUAAGGGUGAGGUCCCUGGUUCAAGUCCAGGAUGGCCCAUUCGGUGUAGGGGGUUUAGCUCAGUUGGUAGAGCGCCUGCUUUGCAAGCAGGAUGUCAGGAGUUCGAGUCUCCUAACCUCCACUGACUACCAAAAUCCCCAUCUCCAAAACCUGGAGUAUGAACUCGUAUGGAUUGUGAUUUAGAUGUGUCCGCUAGAUGACCCUAGCUUCUUGUCAUUUUAAGGCAUGGAAAUAGUUCCAUGAUAUUUAAUUGAUAGGAUGCUGGGCUCGAUUCAAUGUAUUGAGAGAUCAAUGCAUUGUUUUGAUGUCUGGUCGAACCUUGACAACUGCAUAGUAAGUCUGGAAAGAAUAAAGCAUCUUUAUGGAUGCAUCAUUCUUGAGUGUUAAUUCACGAUGGGAUGGUGUUAAUUCUAAAGCAAGAGCCGAGACUCCAGCAUGUUCUUUCAAAUGUGUCGAGCAUUUGAGAGUUUGAUUUUAAUUUCUAUUUUUAGAAGUUAGAAGAAUCUGUUUCAACGACAGCAAGCGUGUUGGAGAUACAUUGGUCAAGCUACAAAGGGCUCACGGCGGAUACCUUGGCACACAGAGGCGAUGAAGG
rnacentral:tRNA from 1 species